UUGCGGUUAAAAAGCUCGUAGUUGGAUCUCGGCAAGUAGAGGGCGGUAUGCUUCGUAGCAUUACUGCCCUAUUACUUGUAGUUUUGCCAGAGGUUCCUGGGUGCUCUUAAUCGAGUGUCUAGGGAUGCUGGCAGGUUUACUUUGAAAAAAUUAGAGUGCUCAAAGCAGGCUAUUACGCUUGAAUGUUCGUGCAUGGAAUAAUAGAAUAGGAAGUUGUUUCUAUUUUGUUGGUUUUCGGAAAUCGACUUAAUGAUUAAUAGGGACAGUCGGGGGCAUUUGUAUUCAAACGACAGAGGUGAAAUUCUUGGACCGUUUGAAGACAAACUACUGCGAAAGCAUUUGCCAAGAAUGUUUUCAUUAAUCAAGAACGAAAGUUAGAGGUUCGAAGGCGAUUAGAUACCGCCCUAGUUCUAACCAUAAACGAUGCCAGCUAGCGAUCUGAGGACGUUUUUUUUGUAGACUCCUCAGGAAGCUUCCGGGAAACCAAAGCGUGUGGGUUCCGGGGGAAGUAUGGUUGCAAAGCUGAAACU
rnacentral:rRNA from 1 species